GACGAACGCUGGCGGCGUGCUUAACACAUGCAAGUCGAACGCUGAAGCUCAGCUUUUGUUGGGUGGAUGAGUGACGAACGGGUGAGUAACACGUGAGUAACCUGCCUCCUUCUUUGGGAUAACGCCCGGAAACGGGUGCUAAUACUGGAUAUUCACUGGUCUUCGCAUGGGGGUUGGUGGAAAGGGUUUUUCUGGUGGGGGAUGGGCUCGCGGCCUAUCAGCUUGUUGGUGGGGUGAUGGCCUACCAAGGCUUUGACGGGUAGCCGGCCUGAGAGGGUGACCGGUCACAUUGGGACUGAGAUACGGCCCAGACUCCUACGGGAGGCAGCAGUGGGGAAUAUUGCACAAUGGGCGCAAGCCUGAUGCAGCGACGCCGCGUGAGGGAUGGAGGCCUUCGGGUUGUGAACCUCUUUCGCUCAUGGUCAAGCCGCAACAAUGGUUGUGGUGAGGGUAGUGGGUAAAGAAGCGCCGGCUAACUACGUG
rnacentral:rRNA from 1 species